rnacentral:rRNA from 1 species
AUGAGCCGCGGAUCGGGCGCGGGCUACGACCGCCACAUCACCAUCUUCUCCCCCGAGGGCCGCCUCUACCAAGUCGAGUACGCGUUCAAGGCGGUCAAGUCGGCGGGGGUCACCUCGAUCGGCGUCCGCGGCAAGGACUCCGUCUGCGUCGUCACCCAGAAGAAAGUCCCGGACAAGUUGCUGGAUGACACCAGCAUCACGCACCUGUUCUCCAUUACCAAGUACACCGGCUUGCUUGCCACUGGCCUCACAGGUUUGGUCACUGUGCUUUGUUUUAGUACAAUUUGUAAUCAGAUUUGUUACCGCUUAUGA